rnacentral:rRNA from 1 species
CCGAGAAUAUUCCGCAAUGGACGAAAGUCUGACGGAGCGACAUCGCGUGAUGGAUGAAGUGCUUCGGUACGUAAACAUCUUUUAUGGGGGAAGAAAUUUUGACGGUACCCCAUGAAUAAGGGGCUCCUAACUCUGUGCCAGCAGGAGCGGUAAUACAGAGGCCCCGAGCGUUAUCCGGAAUUAUUGGGCGUAAAGGGUGUCCAGGCGGCCCUGUUAGUCGUUUGUAAAAUCCGUGGGCUUAACCUACGGUUCGCAAGCGAAACGGCAGGGCUCGAGGGCGCGAGAGGUAGAGGGAACUCAUGGUGGAGGGGUGAAAUCCGUUGAUAUCAUGGGGAACACCAAAGGCGAAGGCACUCUACUGGCGCGUUCCUGACGCUCACACACGAAAGCCAGGGGAUCGAACGGGAUUAGAUACCCCGGUAGUCC